UACAGAGGGGGCAAGCGUUGUUCGGAAUUACUGGGCGUAAAGGGCGCGUAGGCGGCCUUCUAAGUCGAACGUGAAAUCCCCGGGCUCAACCCGGGAACUGCGUCCGAGACUGGAAGGCUCGAAUCCGGGAGAGGGAUGUGGAAUUCCAGGUGUAGGCGGUGAAAUGCGUAGAUAUCUGGAAGGAACACCAGUGGCGAAGGCGGUGCCUCUGGGCCGGUAACUGACGCUGAGGAGCGAAAGCAUGGGGAGCGAACAGG
rnacentral:rRNA from 1 species